AAAUAAAUUUUUUAUGGUUUAUAAAAUUUAUUUUAAAUUUAUUUUACAUAUAAAUUUUAGUGUUAAUUAUUGAUUAUUUAAAUAAUAUUUAAUAUUUUUGUAGUAAUUAAUUUUAAAAAUUUAAGGAAUUAAGAUUUAGUAAUAUUAAAAUUAAUAACUAAUUUUGUGCCAGCAGUUGCGGUUAUACAAAAGUUAAUUUGAAUUUUUUUUUUAUGUGUUAAUAAUUAAUUUAUUUAAUAAUUUAAAUUUUAAAUUUUAAGGUGAAAUUUUAAUUUAAUAAAUAAUUAUUUUUUAAUUAUGAUUUAAUAAAUUUUAUAAAAAACUAGGAUUAGAUACCCUAUUAUUAAAAUUUAAAUUAAUAAUACUUAAAUAGUAGAUAAUUAUUUAUUGAAACUUAAAUAAUUUGGCGGUAUUUUAGUUCAUUUAGAGGAAUCUGUUUAAUAAUUGAUAUUCCACGAAUAAAUUUACUUAUUUUAUUAUUUUGUAUAUCGUUGUUAAAAAAAUAUUUUUUAAUAAUAUUAAUAUUUAAGAAUUUUUAAUUUAAAUUAAAUCAGAUCAAGAUGCAGAUUAUAAUUAAGAAUAUAAUGGAUUACAAUAAAUUUAUUUAAUUGGAUUUAAAUUUGUAAAAAUUAAAUGAAAUUGGAUUUAAAUGUAAUUUUAUUUAAAUUUUUAAAAUGAUUAAAUAUUAAAUUAUGUACAUAUUGCCCGUCGCUUUCAUUUAUAAAUUGAAAUAAGUCGUAACAAAGUAGAGGUACUGGAAAGUGUUUCUAGAAAGAU
rnacentral:ncRNA from 1 species